rnacentral:tRNA from 1 species
AUAAGAAGCAAUUAUGCACUUAGUUUCGACCUAAAUUUAGAUAAAAUUAUCCUUAU